GACGAACGCUGGCGGCGUGCUUAACACAUGCAAGUCGAACGGUAAGGCCCUUCGGGGUACACGAGUGGCGAACGGGUGAGUAACACGUGGGUGAUCUGCCCUGCACUUCGGGAUAAGCCUGGGAAACUGGGUAUAAUACCGGAUAGGACCACUGCCUGCAUGGGCGGUGGUGGAAAGCUUUUGCGGUGUGGGAUGGGCCCGCGGCCUAUCGGGUUGUUGGUGGGGUGAUGGCCUACCAAGGCGACGACGGGUAGCCGGCCUAAGAGGGUGACCGGCAACACUGGGACUGAGAUACGGCCCAGACUCCUACGGGAGGCAGCAGUGGGGAAUAUUGCACAAUGGGCGCAAGCCUGAUGCAGCGACGCCGCGUGAGGGAUGACGGCCUUCGGGUUGUAAACCUCUUUCAGCACCGACGAAGCGCAAGUGACGGUAGGUGCAGAAGAAGGACCGGCCAACUACGUGCCAGCAGCCGCGGUAA
rnacentral:rRNA from 1 species